UGAGGGCUGUUGAAUUUCGCAGGUGACUGCGUCUUGUGACUCCUCUGGAGAGGGGCAUCAAGACCCCAGAGACACCGAUAGGGAAGCGACUAAGGAUACUGGAGGCUCUGACAGCCGGAUCGCGGGGAGGUGGGCUUCUCAGUGGGGGAUGCUAGUCAUUCAGACAUGGGUUAGAGGGGGUUACAGCUCUUGGUGCUGGUGCUGGGAGCUCACCGUGGAGUCGCCUUGUUGCUGGCUUCAGCAUGAUUGAUCCGUGGAGGUACUACUGAAGACCUUGAUUCCAUAAAUACCUGGCUGUGUGGCCCUUUUUUUAACCCGUCAGAUGCCACUGUCUUUUCUGAUUCUUACGUUUGUGGUGCCGUCCAGAGGUGUGGCAUUUAAGCCAGAAGGGGAUUGACUUUAAGAGGUAAUGAAGAUGUUGAAAGGCUCACCUUGCCUAGUGGGAGCAGCUGGUGGUGUGGCAGGCGGACGCUGCCUCACAGCCCUGCGCGUGGCGCACACCACGGAUGUUCUCUUUGUUACUGCUGGUGGAUUGGUAUUUACAGGUGAACACAGCAUGACCAGAGUCUGCUUUCUUUUGCUGUGCCGUGAAUAUCUUGUACGUUCCCUUCGGCCCUUUCUGCAGGAAGGCAGGUUAUGAAUGGGUACAGAUCUCUCGUCCUUCCACAGCCUCAGAGCGCGCGGUGAGCCCUCAGGCUGAGAGCGGGACCAGAAUCCGGGUGUGUGCCUGCACUGCUAGGCGCUCGCCCCACCCCUGUGCCGUCCCACCUGUGUCUUCCCGUUGGCGCCCCCGGACGCACAGGUGCCCCGUGGCUCCCACCGCUUGCGGGGCUCUGCUCCUCCCACCCAGGACACCUGCCUUUCCUCGAGGCACCCGCGGCACCUUCCUUUCCUGGAUGCUGCCCUUUUCCUCCUCCUGGCUCCUCUGGAGUCGUUUUGCAGCAGUCUCUGGCUACCGGGCAUCAGCUUUUGGAGGAAGCUGGUCGAGCUGGCCUCUUGUUUGCAGUCGUGUCGUGUCACUUCUGUCACCAAGGAUGGACACAAGUCAGUUUUCUUCACUGUCCUCGAAUUCCCAUAGCUGAUACGAUUGGAGUUAUUUUUGACUUUUGAUUUCUCCCCCAGGAUUGGGCUUCUUUUUUCAUAUUAGGACUAGAAUAUUAAGCUAUUUCAGGAAAUCAGUUUAAUUAGCUUGUUACUGGUGG